CACCAUUGGAUGGAUCGGCCCUACACCACCAGUUGAUUUGCAUUGAGCCAUGCUAGCAUCAGAGUUCCUUGUACUGCUCAACAGCCAAUCUUGAUCACCAAGAUCUGAACCUUCAUUCUCUAGCGAUAUCGGAUUCCAGGUAACAAACAGAUCUCUGAACUUCUUUUCUUUCUUCUCAGCUUUGCGGAUUUUCUUCCGAUCUGACCGGGAGAGCUUAGUAUCCUGCACUUGAACUGUUUCUGCACUUCUACCAGAGAAGCAAGGCUCUUCUUUUGGCAAAGAGGUGAUGAGAUCCUGCUGCUUGAGAACAGUCAAGUCCUUGGGUUUUUGCAGAACAGGAGGCUGCGGGGCGUCUGGUAGGCAAACAGCAGAUCUCGUUUCUUUCUGUAACACCUUCGCUAACUGAGGAUCAACUUUCUGUGACACCAUGGAAGCUGGACGCUGAACUCCCUGUGACACCAUCUUAACAGGUGGAGGAUCAAAUCUUCCCAUCACUCCAGCAGGUGAAGACGCCACACUUCCCGAAAACUUUGGAGGUAGGUCAGAUCUUCCAACUGGCGCCUUAACAGACAACGGGGGAUGAACCGGAUGUGUGACCUUCGCUGCAG
rnacentral:lncRNA from 1 species